AGGCACUUCAUUCUCCUACUUAAAUUGAUUCUGUUAUUUAGCCAAAUUAAAAUUCAUUUAUCUUCAAUAUAGUAUAUUACAUUCGUGUGUAUAUUUCUGCAAAAUUUAAAAUACCUUAUACAUUUUUGUAUUUUAAUUGAGUUUCCACCCAUCAUCCUAAUCUAAAUUAAGAUAAUAUAAUAUGAUACAAUUUGACUCGAGUUCAGCGUGACCUCGCACUGAAGUUUUUACUCCAAGGUGGAAGUAUGCGACGCACGUUUCCACAUUAAAACAUGUUGUGUUUCUUUAAGUAGCAAUUAUUGAAUUACAGGUAAACCGAGAUAUCUUAGCAUCUACUUCGUGUAGAUUUAUUUAUUAUAGUUCAAUGCAAUGCGCACUGCAGUGAUUGAUACACUUCUGCCAUUUCCGGAAACUUCAUGUUGGCCAACAUCGUCGUCAACUUUGUUCGACUAUGCUGUCUACCGUCCAUACGAUACGGUUUCGUUUGAAUCCACGUGUCAGUUUUAAUCUAAAACGGAAGAGGCAUGCUAUACAGUCGGGGCCGUCCUCCCGGAAAUUUCUGGGAACAUUUUUAUUCCUUAUGAACAAUAUAACAACAUCGUUAAGACAUCGUUCCUGGGAGUAUAACAAGUUAAAACGUGUAUUUGUAAGUAAUUUGUUUAUUUCUUAUAAUCGGUACUCUGCAUAAUUUUUAAGUUAAAAUUACAUUUUAAAAAGCGGACAAGCAGUACAGUAAUUGUAGGGCGUACCACGUCAUAUAAAAUUCAAUGAAUAAUAAUUGUAUACCGUAUAACUACUAUUAAAAAUGUGUCUUAGCAAAAAUGGUCUGUCAGCGUAUAUUUC